UACAGAGGCCUCAAGCGUUGUUCGGAAUCACUGGGCGUAAAGGGUGCGUAGGCGGCUAUGUAAGUCAGGAGUGAAAGUUUGCGGCUCAACCGUAAAAUUGCUUUUGAUACUGCAUAGCUAGAAUUAGGAUGAGGUCAGCGGAAUGUGGCAUGUAGCGGUGAAAUGCAUAGAUAUGCCAUAGAACACCAAUUGCGAAGGCAGCUGGCUAGACCUGGAUUGACGCUGAGGCACGAAAGCGUGGGGAGCGAACAGG
rnacentral:rRNA from 1 species